CAGGGAGACAACAAAAUGUUAAAUAUUAAUUUUGUCACCUUAGGUCGAUCGGUAUCUCACAUUCUUAAUUUAUUAAGGAUUUUAUUUCCUAAGUUUUUCUAGGUCACACCCAUUACUUUUCCUGGGCCAUUAGCUCAGGUGGUUAGAGCGCACCCCUGAUAAGGGUGAGGUCCCUGGUUCAAGUCCAGGAUGGCCCAUAUCUCUAUGUUGGGGGUAUAGCUCAGUUGGUAGAGCGCCUGCUUUGCAAGCAGGAUGUCAGCGGUUCGAGUCCGCUUACCUCCACUGAUUACCACCUCUUCCAUAAUUCAUAGAAGGGAAAUUUUUGAGUUGUGAUCAAAUUCUGAACGAAUCUAGCUUCCUAAUAAUCUUAUUAAGAUGCUGGACUCAUUGAAUUUUUUUCAUUGUUUUCAGAGAACCUUGACAACGGCAUAGAUUAUUUUUAAAGACAAUAAGCAUCUUUAAUGAUGCAGAUUUAUUAUUUGUGCGAAUGCAUCAAAUAACAAUUCUAUUAAGCUGAUGCUUCAAAUCUUUGAAGUUAUU
rnacentral:tRNA from 1 species